GACGAACGCUGGCGGCGUGCCUAAUACAUGCAAGUCGAACGCAGUGGGGACGGGUGAGUAACACGUGGGUAACCUCCCAUCAGAGGGGAUAACACUUGGAAACAGGUGCUAAACCGAUACCGAUGGAUGGACCCGCGGUGCAUUUGCUAGUUGGUGAGGUACCGGCUCACCAAGGCCACGAGGCAUAGACGACCAGAGGGGAUGUGCGGCUACACUGCGACUGUGAAAAGGCCCAGGCUGCUAGGGGAGGAAGCAGUAGGGAAUCUUCGGAAAGGGACGAAAGUCUGAAAGAGCAACGCCGCGUGAGGGAGGAAGGUAUGCGGAUCGUAAGUCUCUGUUGUUAGAGAAGCGGUAUCUAACCAGAAAGCCACGGAUAACUACGUGCCAGCAGCCGCGGUAAUAC
rnacentral:rRNA from 1 species